UUUGUACUAUUAUAGUUAUUAGGUGGGACAAAUUUAAUGUAUUUUUCAAAAUUUUAACACCAUCCCUUAUGCGUUAAAACCAUAUCAACUUUGGAUUUUUAAAUGGUAACCCCCAAUUUUUUUUUGAUGAUCGUGUUUAUUUUUUUAAAAUUUAAUUUUAGGCGUAAAAACUAGGUAAAUCGAUUGAGUAGUUAACGAGCUACACAGUUUUAAAAUUAAAGGGAGUGUAAAAAAUAAAUUAAAUAUCUUGGAGACGCUAACAUAUUAAGGUGACACUUGACUGCUCUGUUAUUAUUUAUUGACAAUUAACUUUGACAAUAGCUAUAGUAGCGUUUAAAAAUCAUAACCGUACCAAACACUAUUUACUUUAGGUAAAUAAUUCACCGAUAGUAAAUAAUAAUGAUAACCGCUAUAUCGACUGACAAAUAUACCACCACUACACACUUUUACAUUUAUUUUAUAAAAUAGUAGGUAUGUUUAAUUUGUUAUCAAUACCUUGUGUAUAUUUUUCCAGCAUUUAGCAAUUAUAUGUUUUGGUUAAUUUGACACAUUUUGUUCAUUCAUGCGAUUUGUACGUCUUAAUUUCAUAGUAUAUUAUAAUAAUAUAGUAUCAUAACUUACUAGAUCUAUGAACUUGUCAACAUUUAUUGUGUUUUAAAUAAUAACAUUGAUAUUAAAUAUCCAUAAUCAAUGUGAAUACCGAGAUGGAGUUUUGCUCAAGUGACAAGUCUAGAAAACCUUACUUAUAAAAUGUAUGCACAUCAAAUAUCAAAAUUAAAGUAUUAUGUCUGUUCUGAGAAACUUAUAAAUGUGUAGUUUUGUGUUUUAAUAUAUUGGUAUCUGAAUUCAAAGAAAAAAUAUAAAAUUUUUUAUGAAAAAAUUGAAUCUUCAAUCAUCAUUUACUGAAUCAACAAUAGUAUGUUCAAUAUUAAUAUGGACUAUCUCAACUUAAAUUGAUAUUUGUUAUUGUCUACAACUACACUACUACCAACGUCAAAUUUGGUGUAUUAUAUUAUUGUAGUCAAUCAGUCUAAUCUUAUUCCAUCAAUACAUUGUCAAAUGUUGUGGUAUUCAAUUUUCAGUAAAUUUAUAGGUGUUUUAUUUUAAGUUACUGUGGCACACUAUUGCAGAUAACGAAUUUCCAUUAAGUCAGUAAGAAG